rnacentral:lncRNA from 1 species
AGGUACUGUUGGUGACUUCUGUUUGGUCCUGUUGGUAACUUGGUUCUGAAGUAUGGGUUCCAGAUGACCUUGGGUUCCAGAUGACUUUGGUAUGUGGUUUCCGGUUCCGUAUUCAUGCCGAAGUACUGAACUUGUGCCUUGAGAUACACAGCCAACCAGUCAUAGUUGCAUCAUUUGCAUCAUAGCAUGUUUAUUUAAAAAAAAAUAAUGCAAAAAAAAUGAUGAAAAAAAAGAGAAUGAAAAAGGAAAAAAAGCUAAUGUGCA